AGUGAGUGCUGGAUGAUGUGGGGGGGGGGGUAAGCAUUUUCUUACUUUAUGUGUCUAUAUUUUUUUUUUAUUUUAUUCCCCCCUCCCUGCUUCUUACCUUGUCAGGGAGGGGGGAGAUCGCCUGGUGGUAUGCUGGAGGGAGCCAGCCGCUGCACAGAGGGGCCAUCACACGCUGUGUUCCCUCUCCAGCUCUAACUCUCGCGAGACUCGCCUGUGCGG